rnacentral:rRNA from 1 species
UACGAAGGGGGCUAGCGUUGCUCGGAAUCACUGGGCGUAAAGCGCACGUAGGCGGAUCGUUAAGUCGGAGGUGAAAUCCUGGAGCUCAACUCCAGAACUGCCUUCGAUACUGGCGAUCUUGGAGUCCGGGAGAGGUGAGUGGAACUCCGAGUGUAGAGGUGAAAUUCGUAGAUAUUCGCAAGAACACCAGUGGCGAAGGCGGGUCGUCUGGACAGUUCCUGACGCUGAGGCACGAAGGCCAGGGGAGCAAACAGGG